GAUGAACGCUGGCGGCGUGCCUAAUACAUGCAAGUCGAGCGAACGGACGAGAAGCUUGCUUCUCUGAUGUUAGCGGCGGACGGGUGAGUAACACGUGGAUAACCUACCUAUAAGACUGGGAUAACUUCGGGAAACCGGAGCUAAUACCGGAUAAUAUUUUGAACCGCAUGGUUCAAAAGUGAAAGACGGUCUUGCUGUCACUUAUAGAUGGAUCCGCGCUGCAUUAGCUAGUUGGUAAGGUAACGGCUUACCAAGGCAACGAUGCAUAGCCGACCUGAGAGGGUGAUCGGCCACACUGGAACUGAGACACGGUCCAGACUCCUACGGGAGGCAGCAGUAGGGAAUCUUCCGCAAUGGGCGAAAGCCUGACGGAGCAACGCCGCGUGAGUGAUGAAGGUCUUCGGAUCGUAAAACUCUGUUAUUAGGGAAGAACAUAUGUGUAAGUAACUGUGCACAUCUUGACGGUACCUCAUCAGAAAGCCACGGCUAACUACGUGCCAGCAGCCGCGGUAAUACGUAGGUGGCAAGCGUUAUCCGGAAUUAUUGGGCGUAAAGCGCGCGUAGGCGGUUUUUUAAGUCUGAUGUGAAAGCCCACGGCUCAACCGUGGAGGGUCAUUGGAAACUGGAAAACUUGAGUGCAGAAGAGGAAAGUGGAAUUCCAUGUGUAGCGGUGAAAUGCGCAGAGAUAUGGAGGAACACCAGUGGCGAAGGCGACUUUCUGGUCUGUAACUGACGCUGAUGUGCGAAAGCGUGGGGAUCAAACAGGAUUAGAUACCCUGGUAGUCCACGCCGUAAACGAUGAGUGCUAAGUGUUAGGGGGUUUCCGCCCCUUAGUGCUGCAGCUAACGCAUUAAGCACUCCGCCUGGGGAGUACGACCGCAAGGUUGAAACUCAAAGGAAUUGACGGGGACCCGCACAAGCGGUGGAGCAUGUGGUUUAAUUCGAAGCAACGCGAAGAACCUUACCAAAUCUUGACAUCCUUUGACAACUCUAGAGAUAGAGCCUUCCCCUUCGGGGGACAAAGUGACAGGUGGUGCAUGGUUGUCGUCAGCUCGUGUCGUGAGAUGUUGGGUUAAGUCCCGCAACGAGCGCAACCCUUAAGCUUAGUUGCCAUCAUUAAGUUGGGCACUCUAAGUUGACUGCCGGUGACAAACCGGAGGAAGGUGGGGAUGACGUCAAAUCAUCAUGCCCCUUAUGAUUUGGGCUACACACGUGCUACAAUGGACAAUACAAAGGGCAGCGAAACCGCGAGGUCAAGCAAAUCCCAUAAAGUUGUUCUCAGUUCGGAUUGUAGUCUGCAACUCGACUACAUGAAGCUGGAAUCGCUAGUAAUCGUAGAUCAGCAUGCUACGGUGAGUACGUUCCCGGGUCU
rnacentral:rRNA from 1 species